rnacentral:lncRNA from 1 species
UGGCUUAGAUAUUAUAAAUUAGGACAAUGCCUAAAAUUCAAACCUAAAUUAGGGCAACGACUAAACACAAAAUACAACUAUAAACACUAUAAAGAUCUAAAAUUGAAAGGAGAAUCAAAGACUUUACGCAUUAAAGUCUUAUGAAAAACUGUAGGAAUUUUAUGAGACUAGCCUACCCAUCUCAGCUAUUGUAGGUGAAAACUACCUGCCAAUCGAAAGAAGAAUUCAGUGCAUUGUCCCAACAAUGACACACACUACCACUAGUACCACAAAACUGUCACUAACAACACAACACAAACAUGAAAAUGUAUCUUAAACAAUCACUGUUUUUCUACAAAAAUAGAGUAAAUCAUUGGCGGUUUAAUUAACAUUUAUUAAGGGCUCAGAUAUUGUUUUACAAAGGCUAUUAAGAGAAAAAAAACAUCAUUGGGGACUUUAAUCACCUGAGUCCGUUAAGGGCUUGAGAGUAAAACAAACAGCCAAGACAAUAUAUAAUAGAGUUGGACUAUUGGCACCCCUCCAAAAUUCUUCUGAAACCCAUUUUUCAAUAAUGCUAAGCUUAAUACUAAAAAUACCCUUAUUUCUAAAUAAACACAUUUAAUUUGUGAAUCUUUUUAUUUUCUAUUCUUUUCUCGCUCCUCACAAACAAACUUUUAUGGGUGAUAAUUUUUUGAUAAAAAUCAAUUAAUAAAACAAAAUAUCUGUAAGAUUAUGAUGUAAAAAUUUUUAUUAUGAGCUUUAAAAAAGGCAGAUAAUUUUGUCAAAAUGUGUUUUGUUUAUUAUCAAUAGAUUAUCUUAGUAAUUGAAGAAAAAUAUAUAAAGAAUUUGAGAAAAAAAUUACAUGUAUGAGUUUGAUAGCAGAAAAAAUACAAGAUUUUUUUUUUUAAGAGAGAAAAUACAAAAGUUUGAAAUGAGAUAAAAUAAAUAUGAGACAUAUUAGAAUAUUUGUCUUUAAAUGUAAUUGUAACAUAAGAGGGGUUUUAAAAGAAUUUUACAGGAAUGCUAAUAGUCCAACUCUUUAUAAUAACAAAAUGAAUGAUUAGAAGAGCCCAUGAAUAAUAAAGCCCGGUAAGCAUUUUGGAAAAUUUACUGAGACAUAUAUAGUUAACCACAAAAUAAUGGCGUUGCAUGUCGUAUGCAAGUAUAUGAAGCAUAUAUAUUAGAAAAAUAGACAAAAACCAAAUUAUCACUUAAUUAAUUGGCAUCUAACCCAUAAGAAACUACAAGAACAAAAGAAUAAAAAAUUUUUAAAAAAUUGCUAAUCUGCAUAUAAAGAUUGUUCUGUAAGGCUGCCAAUCAUGUGUACAUUAGUGGGGAGAUAUAAGAGUUCUGUUUAUCUUGGCUGGGCUCAUUUUGUUAGAAUCAUCUUUUGGGCUUUCUAACUAGAUCACAAUUUGGAGCUCCUAACAUCCCCAUAAAAUUCUUAUGAAAUCAUAUUGUUAUAUUUAUAAUACUUACUCUUAAGAAAUUACGUAAAAAGACAAAAUAUUAAAAUAGAGUUUGUUAAAUUUUACCAUAUUUUUUAAAAAAAAUUUAUCAUUAGGUAAUUAUUUAUUCAAAAUUGUUUGAGUUUCUAUAAGAAAUUAAUUAUAUCAUAAAUUAGAAUAAUUAGCAGGUACAAAAAUAUUUUAAUUUAGUUAAAUUCAUAAUUGUCCUUCUCUAGCAAUGGAACUAGGGUCACAAAAAAAUGGGGUUUUAUAAGGAUUUUAAAGGGUGUGAAAAGCAAUGCUCUUAGGUAGCAUUUACAUUUUGAAUUAGGGUGGAAGCGAGAAUUCUAAGAUUAGAAGUAUGAAAUGAGAGUAGGAGUAGGUUGUUUACUUAUACUAGAAUAGGAGUAUGUAGGGGUGGCAAAAAAGCCCAGGCCGGCCCAAGCCCGGCCCAGCCAAGGCCCCGUCCUCACACAUGAGGGUCUGGACAAGGACCCAAGAAAAAAAGUCCGGACAAAACCCAAGCCCAUUACUUUUAAAAAAAUAAUUUUAUAAAUUAGAAUAAUAUAAUUAAAAUUGAAAAGUAAUUUAAAAAUUAAAAAAAAAAACUUAAAUUCUUAACUUAUAAAUCAAUUAUGAUUCAAAAAGACUAAAAUUAUGAUACUAAAUUCUCUCUUUUGUGUCAAUUAAUUAAGAGAGUGUUUGAAUUAGAAAGUCCAGUAUUAAAAAAAAUUAAAGUUACGAGCUUUUAUUUACUUUAUUUAUUAUUUUAAUUUAAAAUAUUCAUUUUUUUUAAUUUAUCUAUGACUGUGUUAACUACAGAACCACAAUUAAUUAUAAUUGCGUUUCAUAUUAACACAAGUAUUCGAGGACAAUAACUAGUCAAACAGAUGCCACGGCACUAGAUACCCGGGCAUGUGUACCAAACUACCAACUUCAUGAAAAAUGAUUGAACAACCCUAAAGAUCAGAUACACUUUUCUCAGUAUCAAUACUUGCACCAGACAUCAGUGACUGAGUCAUCUUUAAGAAGAAAGGCCCUGGCGUAAGGGCCCUGCCUAUUUUGGCUUUCUUUAAAAUAUAUAUAUAUAAAACUUAGUUUACUAAGUUUUAUUUCUUAAAAUUGUUGAUCAAUAAGAACUCUAAAUUUCAAUACUAACAAAAGACAGCAAAUCCUUUAUGUAGUGAAAAUAGGUUUUCAUCCUUAGCAGCUGAAGCUUCAAAACCUGUAAGUAUAAGCCUGCAAAUUAACAUUAGAAAAGGAGAGGGCUGUAGAAAGAAACAACUUUUUUCUUUGGAUAUAAUCUCCACCAUAGCAACUAUAAAAAUUAUGAUAAAAAAUUACCAAAAAUGAGAAUAGAUACAAAAGGAAGCUGGAAGUCCCCUCCUUUUCUCCAAACAAAUACAAUCAUUUCAGUUUACAACUAAGAACCAUUCUAUUAAUUUUCAACCAAUGAAAUAACCAUAUUAAAAAGUAAUUAUACCAUAAAUCCAAUAUUGAUACAGAAUUUACAAUUUAUGCUACACUGAAAUGGUCAAAUCCUUAAAAGAAAUUUGUUCAUCCUGCGUGGUAUAAGUUGUCUACAUCAUCUAUUAAUAUUAUGCCUCAUUAGUCCAUUUGGAUUACUAACCUUGAUUAUGGUAAAACUAACCACUAGAUUAUAACUUUAUAACCUAUUUAAACAAACUCAUAAAUCAGAAACUGAAACUGAAAAGACAAAAGGAUAUAAAGCAACAAAAACUUGAAGGAUUUCUUCAGGGUAACAAUUAGAACAUGGUAAGCAAUUAGUAUAACCCAUAUAGCACUGUGUAAUCACUCACCAACACUCCGAGCUUGUCCUAAACUAUGUAAUCAGUCGUUUCAUUUUAUGAGGUAGAGAAUUCCUAAAAACUUGAUGAAGAGACAACAGAAGUCAGCCCACAUAGCACCAAAAGCGAAUAAACUUCAAUUAGAAAAGAAAGCCAUGAAACCUAAAAGUAUGGAACAAAAACGUUCAUGCCAAAAUUAUGAUUAUGAAAAGCUAAUUGCAAUUCUUCUUACUUGAUCCUCCAGUUCUUGCUGAUAGGCAAUUUUUUUUUUUUUCAAUUCUAUUUCUCAGUCCAAAAUGCUCAGCCUGCAUUAAAUACAAAUCUACACAGAAUUAUAAAAAUAUCAGGUCGUAAAAUAACUCAAAAGAUUAUAUCCGCAGAAGCAGCAGCAAGGCUUCCUUGAAAGAGAACUCCAACAGAAACUGCAAAACAAGGAUAGUGUAUGGAUUGUAUUCGUUUUCAUACCUCAUAUUUGAAUAAUAGAACAUAUGCAAGCUUGUUGUUUCUGUCAGGCAUUUCAACAAAUAACUUGAAGACUCUACUUCGAAAAAUUUCAUCAAACAUCAGCAUUGAGUGCCAAUGUAGAGGACCAAGCACAGAUUUAACACAUCGGCAAAUCACUCAAAAAUAAAACCACAGACAAGGAAAUGACAUAAAUCAUCCGAUCCCAAUUUCACAAAACGAAACUACUAUUGUAGCGCACAAGUAUCAGCAAAUAAGAUCGAAGAAGCUAGAGAAACUAUAAGAUACGAACCAAAUGUAAAAGCAUCGUUACCUACUGUUAUGGCCGCACGUCGGCUAUCAGCUCAGGCGGUCAGAUUUUUCACUGGUGACGAAGCUAAUCAUUUGACUGAUAUUUAGGCUUUGAGCAAUAAUAUAGCCAUAAUUGGACUGUAGGAUUAAAUAUUUCUUAAUCCACAUUAUUUAUUUAUUUAUUUUAUAUAUUUAUUUAAUUAAUAAAUUAAUUAAUAUAAAAUAAAUUUAUUUAAUAUUUUGUAACUGUAUCAUCACUCUUAAAAUUUGAGGAUUAA